rnacentral:rRNA from 1 species
GACGAACGCUGGCGGCGUGCUUAACACAUGCAAGUCGAACGGAAAGGCCCUGCUUUUGUGGGGUGCUCGAGUGGCGAACGGGUGAGUAACACGUGAGUAACCUGCCCUUGACUUUGGGAUAACUUCAGGAAACUGGGGCUAAUACCGGAUAGGAGCUCCUGCUGCAUGGUGGGGGUUGGAAAGUUUCGGCGGUUGGGGAUGGACUCGCGGCUUAUCAGCUUGUUGGUGGGGUAGUGGCUUACCAAGGCUUUGACGGGUAGCCGGCCUGAGAGGGUGACCGGCCACAUUGGGACUGAGAUACGGCCCAGACUCCUACGGGAGGCAGCAGUGGGGAAUAUUGCACAAUGGGCGGAAGCCUGAUGCAGCGACGCCGCGUGCGGGAUGACGGCCUUCGGGUUGUAAACCGCUUUCGGCUGUGACGAAGCGUGAGUGACGGUAAUGGGUGAAGAAGCACCGGCUAACUACGUG